GGCAACCUGUUGGGGUCCCCUUGCACACUGUGGAAGCCUUAUUCUUCCUCUCUUUGCAAUAAAUCUUGCUGCUGCUCACUCUUUAGGUCCACACUGCCUUUAUGAGCUGUAACAUUCACCGUGAAGGUCUGCAGCUUCACUCUUAAAGCCAGCGAGACCACGAACCCACCGGGAGAAACGAACAACUCCAGACGCACCGCCUUAAGAGCUGUAACACUCACCAGGAAGGUCUGCAGCUUCACUCCUGAAGCCAGCGAGACUAUGAAGCCACCGGAAGGAACGAACAACUCCAGAAACACCACCUUAAGAGCUGUAACGCUCACUGCGAAGGUCUGCAGCUUCACUCCUGAGCCAGCGAGACUAUGAAGCCACCGGAAGGAACGAACAACUCCAGAAACACCACCUUAAGAGCUGUAACGCUCACUGCGAAGGUCUGCAGCUUCACUCCUGAGCCAGCGAGACCACGAACCCACCAGAAGGAAGAAACUCCGAACAUCAGAAGGAACAAAUUCCGGACACGCCACUUUUAAGAAUUGUAACACUCACCGUGAGGGUCCGCGGCUUCAUUCUUGAAGUCAGUGCGACCAAGAACCCACCAAUUGCAGACACAUUACUAGCUCUCUGCCGCCAUUUUACUACCAUGAUUUGUUCCAGGCUCAAAGCAGGAAGAGGGAGGAGGAGGAGGAGGGAGAAAGGGAGAAAAGCUCUUAAUUAAUUGAUCGUCUCAGAGGGCCCAUUCUUUCUUCCUGGGCUAGGUUGUGGUAUUUAAAGUUACCUCUCUCCCUUGUUUGAUGCUCUCAUGGGGUCUUCAAAGACACCGCCGCCUCCAUGGCUGGGGUUGUUUGUUGAGGUUCCCUUGAUCAGCUCUGCCUCAAAACUCUGCUUCUCCCGCUCAAGCCUGAGAGUCCCUCUAGGUGGCCCUGUUGGACAAGAGCUAAGCCUUCUCUCUGUCUCUCCCUUUCUCUCUCUUUCUCUCUCAACCAACCCAGGCCCAUCUCUUUCUCUAGGAGGGAGCCAAACACCAGUCACCAGCACGGGGCAGGGAUGGGGCAAAGCUCAGAAAGAAGCCCCGCCGAAGGAGGGUGGAGGGCUGGGAGGGGCUUUCAGCCGGUCCUGACUUUUUGUUAUGGAGAAUGGCUUUUCCCUCUUCUGGGUGGCUCGGUCACCCUGGAGAGUCCUGCACCAGCUCUAACAUGCCAGGCUUUUUCCUUGGCCGCCAAGAGAGCUGGGCCCGCCCUCCCUUCUGAGCUCUCCUCCAGCUCCUUUCUGAUCCCUGCCCGUGUGGUCCUGCCCUCAGGCCCCGUUCAGAAGGUCAGCCUAAACCAGGACCAGAGGGCAACUCCUGCCCUCCAGCUUGGCACCUCAGUCAUGAAGGUGGCAUUUGAGUCCAUCUGCUACCUUUUAUGUUUUCAAUUUGUGCAGGACCUGGAGGGGGAAGAGAGGUGUUAUUUACUGAGCCCCCUCAGAACUUCAACAUCGUCUUACCUCGAAAGUAGGCAGAGAAUGAGUGGUGUCAUGUUGCCACUUUUGGAAUUUCUUUCCCCUUUGAAGAUUUCUUAUUUUUUUAUGGCACCUGUCUUUGGCUUGUCAUAUAUAUUUUACCUUGGUGUCUUGGUGAGAGCUUCUUAUGUAAUAUUCUGAAAUGUGUCAUAUGGGAAAUACAGCUUUUAGAGUUUUCUUGAGAAGUGGUUGAUUAUAGCAACUACAUGAGGACAUAUAUUUAACAGUGAAAUGAAGAUACUUUAUUUCAGGGGAAAAAUGACUUUUAAGAGGCUCUAAUUUUUUUUCUUGGCUUUGCACAGACAAAAUCACCACAUUUUGCUCAACCCUAAUUUUGUCAUUUAUAAAAUGAAACGUUUAGCCUAAAUAAUCUCUCAGGUCUCUUUCCAACUCGUACCAUGAAUCUGAGAGACCUGGAAAGGAAGUGGGACAACAUUUCUGUUGUGAAGAAGGCAAGGCUGGUGAUGUGGGCGUGAAGGUUAAAGAUGCUGGCCCCUCAUGACAUUGGCGAACGUGGCCCUUCUUCCACCUGCUCAGCCAGAAACGCUACUGAGUGCAGACGUUUGUAUACUAAGAGGUAUUUGGGUGCAUACGAUUUAAUCCUUAGCCUGAUGAGCUUAUAAGUGUGAAGAGAAGCAAGACUGUUCACAAAUUGCUAAAACAAAAUAUGAUGCUACAUUUACCCAACAAACCUAAGAUUCUGUGUACAAAACAUUGCAGUAGUAUCACUGGAAUUGUGUGUGGGCUGCUGUGAGUUCAGCGUCCUCUCAGAGCACCGUGGUUCCAAGUGGACGGACCUUAAAGGGUUCCAUAAUCAGGACAGGUUGAAAGAAUAGUGAAUGCCACACAAAUGCCCCCACACCCUUGACCCUGUGCCACCAAAGGCAAAACCAAAAGACAUUUCAAUUGGGAAAAUCGUGAUGCUUGUCUCUUAUUUUCUUUCUUUUAUUAUUAUUAAGACACGAUUAUCAUUCAGGAUUCAUGCUGUUUACAGUUUGACUACUUCAUAGAAAAAUGUGUCUAUAAAACACCUGGUAGUUGUAAAAAGGCUUGGGUAGGGCCCAGAAAGCCAGAUACAUGCAUGCUAUUUAUUCAGCUGCCGGGAGCCAUUCCCUGUCUCCAUACACCCAAGGAUUGUCUAUCCUCUCCUAAAUUUUAUUUCUAAUAUUCUUGCUACAUAGUCAGGUUAAAAAAAUGAAACACAAAAAAAUCAGGAAAAUCAAAGCACUGCCUCCCUGAAAAAUUAUGCUCAAAUACAAACAUUCUUCUUGGCAUUUCAGGCAUGUUUUGACGCUGUGGACCAGGAAGGUGGUUGCAAAUGCAUCGAUCUGGUGUGCCACACACAUUAGAUCUACGUGAAAGUUAUCUGUAAAAGCGAGUCUACAAGCAUCCCCUCAGCACCUCUGGUGUAUCUGACUCACGGGGCUAAGUACCAUAGAAGAUACCCAAGAUUCUGACAUAUUCUGUGCCCUGGUCACACAAGCCACAGUGUCAGAGAGAACAGUAAGCCCACUGCCUGCCCCACCACUGGUGACAGCAAGCCUGCCCCCAGGGAGUUUUGAAGUUGCUCUUUGCUCUUAUCUAAUCUCAAAAGCUGAACCCUAACCCUGCCUUCCACCCUCCAGUGACUUUUCCAAGACAAGUAAUGUUCACCUGCUUGAAUGCAUCACUUCAUGCAUCUUUAAAGGCUUUGAACUUUAUUGUGAUAAUGGACGUUUAAAUCACUUGGAAUACUGAUUAGGGCUUCUUUGAUGCCAACCCAGACCCUCCCAACCUCUGCCUCCUCCUGGACUGGCCUGGUGCUGACCCACCAUCCAUCUGCAUGUCUCCCACUGCCUGCCAUUGCAGCAGGACCACGUGGCCCACCCUUCUGAGAUGUUCCAGUCCUUCGCAUUCUGUCUGAGCCCCAGCAUCCUUUACUUAAUGCCAUGUCUACCUAUGUAGAAUUAAAACCAAGCAGUAUUGGGAGGUCUGAGCACAGUCAAGGAAACUCACUUCCAAAUUCUUCUUUCAACAUAUGUUUUGGCUGAAAACAAAUGCACUCAUUUUUAGGAAGCAGAACUACUUAAGCAAGAUCCAGCCUACGAGCAUGGGUGUUCUACAUCUUGUUUUGUUCCUAUUUCUGAAGACCAAAAAAAAAAAGCAUUAUUUUCAAAGGAAGCACUAGGUGGCACUUGUGAUGUAUUCCACAGUUGCCUCCGAUCCUUUUUGAAAAAGGUUUGAUAGAAAAAAAAAUGCAAUAAAUAUUAAAAUGGGAAAAUCGUCAUUACAAUAAUGAAGAUCAGCAUGAUUGUGUUUACUAUGUUACUAUGUAUGAGCAAUAUCUUUAUGCAGUAUUUGCAUUUAAAAUCUGAGCUUUGCUUUCUUGAUAAAAACUGCAAGACGGGAACUGACAUUUCUAUAACAUGUGAAAACCCCACAUCGCUAAAAUAAUAAGUAAAAAUGUAAUGCCUGGUUUGCAAAAAGAUUGACUAUAAAUCUUCUUUUAAAUAGUUUCUGUCUUCCAUUUAGAGUGUUUGAAUUUGUAAAAACAGAUAACAGAAUAAAUUUUUCAAGGUCCAUCUAUUGUGAAAAGCAAAAUUUAAAAAAUCAUAACUUGAAAUAAGGCACUGCAGCUUCCAGGUUUUGACUAAUAUUAACCAAAAAAAACAAAAGAAAGAGAAAGAAAGAGAGAUGAAGAUUAAAGCAGAUAUCUCAGGGUUUUUACCAUCUUUAAAGUAAUAACGUAAAGACUUUAAGCAAAUGUAUUCUUUUCUGUUAUUCAGUUAGUUCCCAUUUGGCAACUGCUUAAUUAUCUCAUGGUCCCAUUUCAAUGUCGAGAGAUUGCAAGCUUUUAACAGAAAUUCAGGUUGAGAAGGAACUAUGAAAAAUAGAAAAUAUUGUUGCCAAAUACCAUGGCAACAACUGUAGCCUGCAGACCUUUUCACGAUACUGCAUCUUUCCCCUACCUAUUGUCUAGCCUUGGCAGUAACCAUUUUUAUGGAUUAGGUUCUCUUGUGGCUUCAUCUCACUUUUCUACCUCUUAUUCUUCCUUUGUUUCAUUUUUGUUCCUUAUUUUAAAUGUUUUUUUUCUUGCCAUACCUCUGUAGGAUAAUUUAACACAAUGAAAUCCUUUUGGAACAAGCUGGGUUAUAAAUAAAUUAAUAAUAAUGCUAAUGUACUGUCUUGUAAUUGCACUAAUGUGUGGGUUUGGAUGAAAUUGACAUUUUGAAGGUAGUAUCUCAUAUAGUAGUAAACUCAGCAUGUCAGAACUCAGAGCUAAAUAUGCAAAACAGCGACAGUGCUGAAAAAAAUCUUGGAUCUCGGUGUAAUAGUUGAAUGUCUUUGGAUGCAAAUGAUGGAAAUGGAUUCUGACUAACAGAAGCAAAAAGAGACUUUUAACAGGGUGCUAGCUAGGAACUCAGGAUAGAUGGGAGGCUGGAGAGCCAAAUCAGGACACAAGACAGGAAUGAAGGCAAUUCCUGGAGUCCAGGCAGCAUGAACAACUGAAGGAUCUUAUCUGGGUGCUGCUCCUCCAGUAUAUGUGUUCCAAUAUUUUCCCAUUCCUUAUGCGCCUCCACUCAAGAUGAAAAGUUCCAAGAGUACAGUCUGCUUGAUGUUUGCUGGGCAUUCACAGAUUUAUAGUACUAAAAAUAUGUGAGACCAGGUGCAGUGGCUCAUGCCUGUAAUCCCAGCACUUUGGGA